CGUGUAGGCGGUUUGUUAAGUCUGAUGUGAAAGCCCUGGGCUCAACCUGGGAAGUGCAUUGGAAACUGGCAGACUUGAAUACGGGAGAGGGUAGUGGAAUUCCUAGUGUAGGAGUGAAAUCCGUAGAUAUUAGGAGGAACACCGGUGGCGAAGGCGGCUACCUGGACCGAUAUUGACGCUGAGACGCGAAAGCGUGGGUAGCAAACA
rnacentral:rRNA from 1 species